AUGAACGCUGGCGGCGUGCUUAACACAUGCAAGUCGAACGGUGAAGCAGAGCUUGCUCUGUGGAUCAGUGGCGAACGGGUGAGUAACACGUGAGCAAUCUGCCCUUGACUCUGGGAUAAGCGCUGGAAACGGCGUCUAAUACUGGAUACGAGCUGCGAAGGCAUCUUCAGCAGCUGGAAAGAAUUUCGGUCAAGGAUGAGCUCGCGGCCUAUCAGCUUGUUGGUGAGGUAAUGGCUCACCAAGGCGUCGACGGGUAGCCGGCCUGAGAGGGUGACCGGCCACACUGGGACUGAGACACGGCCCAGACUCCUACGGGAGGCAGCAGUGGGGAAUAUUGCACAAUGGGCGAAAGCCUGAUGCAGCAACGCCGCGUGAGGGACGACGGCCUUCGGGUUGUAAACCUCUUUUAGCAGGGAAGAAGCGAAAGUGACGGUACCUGCAGAAAAAGCACCGGCUAACUACGUGCCAGCAGCCGCGGUAAUACGUAGGGUGCAAGCGUUAUCCGGAAUUAUUGGGCGUAAAGAGCUCGUAGGCGGUUUGUCGCGUCUGCUGUGAAAUCUGGGGGCUCAACCCCCAGCCUGCAGUGGGUACGGGCAGACUAGAGUGCGGUAGGGGAGAUUGGAAUUCCUGGUGUAGCGGUGGAAUGCGCAGAUAUCAGGAGGAACACCGAUGGCGAAGGCAGAUCUCUGGGCCGUAACUGACGCUGAGGAGCGAAAGGGUGGGGAGCAAACAGGCUUAGAUACCCUGGUAGUCCACCCCGUAAACGUUGGGAACUAGUUG
rnacentral:rRNA from 1 species